GUGCUCGCUUCAGCAGUACUUAUACUAAGAUUGGAACUAUACAGAGAGGAUAGCAUGGCAUGGCCCUUGCACAAGGAUGACAUACAAAUUCAUGAAGUGUUUCAUAUUUUU